rnacentral:rRNA from 1 species
UACGUAGGUGGCGAGCGUUGUCCGGAUUUACUGGGCGUAAAGAGCGCGCAGGCGGCUGGUCAAGUCCGAUGUGAAAGCUCCCGGCUUAACUGGGAAAUUGCAUCGGAAACUGAUCGGCUGGAAGGUGGGAGAGGGUAGCGGAAUUCCCGGUGUAGUGGUGAAAUGCGCAGAUAUCGGGAGGAACACCAGUGGCGAAAGCGGCUACCUGGCCCAUUCUUGACGCUGAGGCGCGAAAGCUAGGGGAGCAAACGGG